AUACGUAGGGUGCGAGCGUUGUCCGGAAUUACUGGGCGUAAAGAGCUCGUAGGUGGUUUGUCGCGUCGUCUGUGAAAUUCCGGGGCUUAACUCCGGGCGUGCAGGCGAUACGGGCAUAACUUGAGUACUGUAGGGGAGACUGGAAUUCCUGGUGUAGCGGUGAAAUGCACAGAUAUCAGGAGGAACACCGGUGGCGAAGGCGGGUAUCUGGGCAGGAACGGACGCUGAGGCGCGAAAGCAUGCGUAGCGAACAGGAUUAGAUACCAUGGUAGUCCAUGCCGUAAACGGUGGGCGCUAAGUGUAGGGGUCUUCCACGACUUCUGUGCCGUAGCUAACGCAUUAAGCGCCCCGCCUGGGGAGUACGGCCGCAAGGCUAAAACUCAAAGGAAUUGACGGGG
rnacentral:rRNA from 1 species